CUCUCCCGCGCCAGCUCUUCGGGACGCGGCCUCCCAGCGGACGCCCUGAGACCUUGCAAGUCCGCUAGGGAGGGGUCGGGACGAGCCGUCGCGGGUGGAUCCGCCCGGCCGAGCAACGACCCGCCCGGGCGCGAGGACCACGGGCUGUCGUGCGGGAGGCGUCGAGGGGCAGUAAACUCCGUUCGUGACCAAACGGAGACGAUUUGAAACUUGCUGCUCACACUGGAUCACCGUCUGGAAGGUGCGACGGGGAAAAAAUACACAUUACACUCCAGCAGGAUUGAACGCUUUCACCCUGUGCCCCGCGCCUGGCGUAACGCGUGGCCCCAGAC
rnacentral:lncRNA from 1 species